GAUGAACGCUGGCGGCGUGCCUAACACAUGCAAGUCGAGCGAAGCGGGGAGGGGUGAGUAACACGUGGAUAACCUCCUAUAAGACGGGGAUAACUUCGUGAAACCGGAGCUAAACCGGAUACUUAUACAUGGAUCCGCGCUGCAUUAGCUAGUUGGUAAGGUAACGGCUUACCAAGGCCAUGAUGCAUCGCCGACCUGAGAGGGUGAUCGGCCACACUGGAACUGAGACACGGUCCAGACUCCUACGGGAGGCAGCAGUAGGGAAUCUUCCACAAUGGGCGAAAGCCUGACGGAGCAACGCCGCGUGAGUGAUGAAGGUCUUCGGAUCGUAAAACUCUGUUAUUAGGGAAGCGGUACCUAAUCAGAAAGCCACGGCUAACUCCGUGCCAGCAGCCGCGGGAAUUC
rnacentral:rRNA from 1 species